rnacentral:misc_RNA from 1 species
AUCUUGUGAACUCAAUCUCCAAAGCUGCGUAAGAAAGGUGUAAGGAAAAACAUCAUUCUGCAUCAUGCAAGCGAGAUGUCAACCGGUUCAAAUAAGAACUGAGACGAGAAAGACUGAUAAAAAUGCUUUAACAUGCAGACAAUAAUUGUAACACGAACAACACUAGGUGCCACCAGUAACCAAGCACACAGAACCCAAAAGGCAUAAAUUUGAAAAUAACGAGGCUCACCCUAUUAAAUUCUUAAUCAAUAGACACAGUUUGAGUGGCAAAUACAACUCCAGUUACUCCAACUCCUUACAUUACCCUCAUAUGACACUUUUCAAAUACCUAGAAGAAGACAAAUAAUUUGGCACAAUCUUCCAAAUACAAGCAAAACAUAUAAAAAAUUGGAUAUCGUAAAGUUUGAGAGAAAUUAUUUUGAUGAUCUCUUCAAAAAUAGUCAACGUAAUAAUAGCGUGAAUAUAAACUACAAA